rnacentral:lncRNA from 1 species
UGGCUGCAGUCCUCACCACCUACCAAUAUAGACUAUCUCAAAAGGCCAAAAAAACCCAAAUUCAGAUGAAUGAUGGGACUCUACAGUAGGACGCAGCAUUGAAGGUAGGGCUAAAGAAGACCGAUUAUGAGGCCCCUCAGCAUAUUCCUGCUGCUCUCCAUGGCUCUGUGCUGCUUCAUGUAUACUGUUCAAGCUGAACCCCGAGAGGCUAAUUGUGAUUUCUCUUCUGGAUGCAAUUUUAAUUUUGAGCCUGUCUGUGGCACUGAUGGUAAUACCUAUCCCAAUGAAUGUCUUCUGUGUAUUGUAAAUAAGGGAAGAGAUGUUGAUGUCCUCAUCAAAAAAUCUGGGAAAUGCUGAGGAACCAAAAUAUCUUGGAGCACCUAGUAGGUGGUACCAAGGCUAGGCAGCCCAAUUUAUUAAUAAAUAUAUGAGACUAAUUUCUGUUUUUCA